UAAAGUUCAGAGAGGUAAAGAAAGGUCAGUGGCAGAACUGGACUUUGAACCCAGGAAUUGGGCACUGAGUUCAAUGCUCUUUCCACUAGAUGUGAGGGGAGAGAGGAAGGACGAAGUUGUAUGAACAUUUCUACUGCAGAAAUUGGGAGGUGGAGAGGAGCUCACUAUUAUCCUGAUAACCAGAGGCUGGGUGAUGGCCCAUAGGAAGGCAAUUCCUAGGGUCUUGAAAGCUGUGAGCCAGGAACCAUGGAUGAAGAUCAAAUUUAUAUGAGAAAUAUAUUUUGGCCAUUUGCAUGACUGGCUAUACGUAAUCCAAAUCACAACAAUAAUGCAAAAAGCAGGAAGGAGUGAAUGGAGCUAACGUGUUCUAAUUAUGCAUUAAAACCAAUAAUUUGUAUUAGACUUCUGCUAUGGCUGCAUAACAAACUGUCCAAAGAAUUAGCCACUUAAAACAACCUUCACUGCAUUAUGCGUACAGGUUCUGUGAGCCAGGAAUCUGGAGCAGGCACAGCGGGAAUGACUUGUUUCUGUUCAUCUAUGAUGUCUGAAACCUCAGUCUGAAAGAUUCAAAGGCCGAGGGACUGGAAGAAUCUGGAAGUGCCUGAUGGCUCAGAGACAAGAACUGUUGUCCAGAGCGUCCUCACAUGGCUUUUCUGUGUGGCUUGGCUUCUGCAAAGUACAGCAGCUUCGAGGGAGUAGGAUUUACUACAUGACAGCUAAGCGCUGCAAGCAGGAGUGUUCCAAAGAAGGCAGAAGCUGCGUCAUCUUUUAUUACCCAGCUUCAAAAGGGAUACAGCAUCCCUUCUGCCAUACUCUUCAGCCAGAGCAGUAACAUGCUCUCCUAGAUCCAAGAGGCAGGAAAUCAGACCCCGAUUCCUAACAGAAGAAUGGUGAGACCAGUUGUAGAUUACACGUGUUUUCAGAGAUAUUGUUGCAGUCAGCUUUGGAAAAAACAGCCUCCCACACUAGCCAUCUGUUUGGGGUGAUGAAAUAUUUGGAGAAGGCAGUGAUAAUGGUUGUGUAACAAUGCACGUGUAAUUAACGCUACUGGGUUGUACAUUUAAAAUGGCUAAAAUGGCAAAUUUUAUGUUAUAUAUUUUACCACCAUAAAAAAUUAGAGAGGGAGGAAGAGAAGGAGAGAAAGAAGGAAAGGAAAAAGAGACAGAUAGCAGGAGACCCAGACCAGCCCAGGGCUGAAAUAGGUAGGAGUUAGGUGGGAAAUUAGGCAUGGCAUUCCAGAGAGGAAAGCUGGAUCUGUGUCCAUGCCCCUAGCUCUGCAUAUAAUUUGUACCCUGCCCCCUCCAAGAUUCCUCAAUCUAGAAGCUUGUUAGAGGGUAUGUAGAGAGUUUGAAGGAUAGUAGAAGGUUUGGCUGGAUCCAUGACAAAGUGUACUCACUAGAGUAAAUGAGAGGUUAAGAAUAAAACCAAAGGGGACGGCUGGGUGGCUCAGUCAGUUAAGUGUCUGACUCUUGAUUUUGGCUCAGGUCAUGAUCUCACAGUUCAUGAGUUCAAGACUGGCAUCAGGCUCAGCACUGACAGUAUGGAGCCUGCUUGGGAUACUCUUUCCCUCUCUCUUGUCUCUUCUCUCUCUUUCUCUCUCUCAGUAAACAAAGUUAAAAAAAAAAAAAAAAAAGAAAACCAAAGGACCAACUUCCAUUUUCAAACCCACAAACCCACAAUUUCAACAAAAGGCUUAUGGGACCAACCUUGGAAGACUAACUUACAAUUCUAACAACAUUACUGAGUUUCUCAGAACCAAGCUUCAGAGAAUAGUGCCAUUGAGCUGGGGAGCGAAUGUAUUGGGUGGCAGAAUCACCAGCAUAGUCCCUGGAGAGGUGCAAUGCCUGAAUGAUAUUGUGUGGAUGGAUACUUGUAUAACAAGGAUGUGUAAGGGUUAAAUUGUAGUGUAGGGCUAACGCUCAGCUUGAAAAAUAACAACUUUGCGGGGCGCCUGGGUGGCGCAGUUGGUUAAGCGUCCGACUUCAGCCAGGUCACGAUCUCGCGGUCCGGGAUUUCAAGCCCCGCGUCAGGCUCUGGGCUGAUGGCUCAGAGCCUGGAGCCUGUUUCCGAUUCUGUGUCUCCCUCUCUCUCUGCCCCUCCCCGUUCAUGCUCUGUCUCUCUCUGUCCCAAAAAUAAAUAAACGUUGAAAAAAAAAAAGAAAAAUAACAACUUUGUUCUGACACUGAAGAUCAAAAGAUAACAGCCUUGCUUUUACUCUUGUAAAUCAUACUUCAUACUCUUGUGAAUCUGGCUUUACCAAUGAAGGAAACAAAAGCUCAAAAAAAGAGCAUCAGAGACAAGAUCAAGGAGAUCCACUGGUUGCAACUUAGUGGCAGAAAGUCUAAAAUAAUCACCUCAUUUGAUAACUGUUUCUGACUCAUGUGGCAACUGUUUCUAACUCAUCUGGGAACUGUUGCUCUGUUCUGUUCCCAGGUAAUGAUAAAACGAUGUGAUCAGCUUUAAAAACUCUGUACCCUGGCUGUUCGGAGCCACACUCUUAUCAAGAGUGUUGGUCCUGAUCCGUCGGCCUUGCCUCUCAUUGUAAUAAACUUUGUUGUGACUGUCACUGUUGCCUGUAGCAUUCUGUUUCAGGAGUUGUGUGGAUGCAACAGAUGCAGUAGUGCUACCAAACAAUAGGUACAUUGUUCAAAAUGAGGGGCUAAACAGUUUCCAGUAUUGCUAGCACAUGCUCUUUUUUUUUUUUUUUUUUUUGAGAUUUGAUGUCUGAUCUUAUUUGUUACUCUUAGAAAAUCUCAUUUUUUUAAAUGUUUAUUUAUUUUUAAGAGAGAGAGGGAGACAGAGCAUGAGCAAGGCAGGAGGGGGAGAGGGCAGGCAGAAAGAGAAGGAGACACAGAAUCCAAAGCAGGCUUUAGGUUCUGAGCUGUCAGCAUAGAGCCUGACAUGGGACUUGAACUCGUGAACUGCGAGAUCAUGACCUGAACCAAAGUCGGACACCCAACCAACUACGCCACCCAGGGAUUCCAGAAAAUCUCUUUUUUUUUUUUAUUUUGUUUUUUAUAUUUUGAGAGAGAGAGAGAGCUGGGGAGAGGGGGAGAGGGAGAGAAAGAUUCCCAAGCAGACUCCACACUCAGCAUGGAGCCCAAGUGGGCCUAGAUCCCACGACUCUGGGAUCAUGACCUGAGCCGAAAUCAAGAGUCAGAUGCUCAACUGACUGAGCCACCAAGGCGCCCAGAAAAUCUCAUUGUUGCCUGGACUCAGAGGUAGAAGCUCUCAGAAGGGGCAGCCUCUGUUUCUUGGCAACCUGUUCCUGGCGCUUUCCUUUGACCUCCUUCAUGCUCUUGGCCAAAAGUUUAGUGUCUUCUUGCAGCCUCUUCCUUAUUUUUCUUAGAACUCUGUGUCUUCUGAGCAAUACGCCGACAUUUGCCUUGGAGGUUACGUGGAGUAACAAGACGCUGAAUCUUGGGCGCCUUGGUUCUAGGUUUCUUACCUUCUUUGCUUAAGAGCCCCAUCACAACACACUGGCAGACAUCAUCUUCUUUAAAGAGACUGAGAGGUUUGCGGAUUCUUCUAGCUCUUUUGGGCCCCAGGCAACAAGGCACAGGAGCAUCCGUGAGUCCAGGAAUAUCCUUCUCCCCAUUUUUCACGAUGACCAAGUUGAGAACACUGAGGUUGGCAUCCACAGCAUAGCCCUGAACAGAUCUGCACUUUCUUUCUCCAGUCCUCCUAGGUCUGUAGCAGGAAUGUCCCUUAGCGGCCGUACACUUCUUGUAAGAGGUAUAAAGUUUCCGGUCAUCAUCCACGUCAAUGAGUCUCUGGCAGCCAGCAGCUUGGAAGGACAUGUUCAGUUUCAUCCUAAAGCUGCUUACCACCUCCAAGGCGCUACGAAAAAGAGUUUUGUCAUCACAUGUUCUAAGCACUGAUGGGGACAUUAGAUUUUAUAGUUUUACCCAGAGAGUUGGAUUCACCUGCUGCUAAAUGGGACACGAGCAAGAUAGAGGAGAAAAUCUAGAAAUGGAAUGUGUAGGGGCCCAGGGCAGGCUGCCCCAAGAUGGGCCGCUUUGGCAUCAAGAUUUCAAGCUGAGGGCAAUUAAAGCCCUGUGGGCUCAAUAAAAGUUUUGCCCCUCCCUUAACUACUCAGAAGAAUUUAAAUUGGGGAUCUUUCCCAAAACAAUGGUUAUUACCAGAUAAAUUCUGAGUGACCCAUCUGUAUGGCAGGGAAAACAGCUACCAAACACCUGCUCUUGUUAUCACCCUGUGAUGUGCAUUCCUUCCCUCUGAAGUCCCAGAUCUCUACCCGCUUCUCCUUAGUUCAGGAUGACAUAUAUCCCUCAUUUUGCCUGACGUCAGAAUUUCCAUGUCUGUUUGGAUUCCUUGUACAUACACUCUUAAAUUUUAUUUUCUCUGUUAA